rnacentral:rRNA from 1 species
AAAAAAGGUAAGCUACUAAGAGCGAAUGGUGGAUGCCUUGACUGGUAAAGGCGAUGAAGGACGUACUAGACUGCGAUAAGCUACGGGGAGCUGUCAAGAAGCUUUGAUCCGUAGAUUUCCGAAUGGGGCAACCCAAUGUAUAGAGAUAUACAUUACCUAUAUAGGAGCGAACGAGGGGAAUUGAAACAUCUUAGUACCCUCAGGAAAAGAAAUCAAUAGAGAUUGCGUCAGUAGCGGCGAGCGAAAGCGCAAGAGGGCAAACCCAGUGCUUGCACUGGGGGUUGUAGGACUGCAAUGUGCAAGAGGUGAGUUUAGCAGAACAUUCUGGAAAGUAUAGCCAUAGAGGGUGAUAGUCCCGUAUGCGAAAAACAAACCUUAGCUAGCAGUAUCCUGAGUAGGGCGAAACACGUGGAAUUUUGUCUGAAGCUGGGUCGACCACGAUCCAACCCUAAAUACUAAUACCAGAUCGAUAGUGCACAAGUACCGUGAGGGAAAGGUGAAAAGAACUGAGGUGAUCAGAGUGAAAUAGAACCUGAAACCAUUUGCUUACAAUCAUUCAGAGCCCUAUGUAGCAAUACAGGGUGAUGGACUGCCUUUUGCAUAAUGAGCCUGCGAGUUGUGGUGUCUGGCAAGGUUAAGCAAACGCGAAGCCGUAGCGAAAGCGAGUCUGAAUAGGGCGCUUAGUCAGAUGCUGCAGACCCGAAACGAAGUGAUCUAUCCAUGAGCAAGUUGAAGCUAGUGUAAGAACUAGUGGAGGACUGAACCCAUAGGCGUUGAAAAGCCCCGGGAUGACUUGUGGAUAGGGGUGAAAGGCCAAUCAAACUUCGUGAUAGCUGGUUCUCUCCGAAAUAUAUUUAGGUAUAGCGUUGUGUCGUAAUAUAAGGGGGUAGAGCACUGAAUGGGCUAGGGCAUACACCAAUGUACCAAACCCUAUCAAACUCCGAAUACCUUAUAUGUAAUCACAGCAGUCAGGCGGCGAGUGAUAAAAUCCGUCGUCAAGAGGGAAACAACCCAGACUACCAGCUAAGGUCCCUAAAUCUUACUUAAGUGGAAAACGAUGUGAAGUUACUUAAACAACCAGGAGGUUGGCUUAGAAGCAGCCAUCCUUUAAAGAAAGCGUAAUAGCUCACUGGUCUAGUGAUUUUGCGCGGAAAAUAUAACGGGGCUAAAGUAAGUACCGAAGCUGUAGACUUGCGCACAACUUAGAUUAUUUAAGUUUAGAAUAUGAGAAACUAAGUUAUAUGUUUAGUUAUAUUUUUACUGAUUUUUAUAGAGUAAAGAUAGAAAUAAAACUUAGUAAAAUCAGUAAAAAUAUUCUUAGAUUAAAGUUAAGUAGUUUAAGUUGUGUGCAAGUGGUAGGAGAGCGUUCUAUUUGCGUCGAAGGUAUACCGGUAAGGAGUGCUGGAGCGAAUAGAAGUGAGCAUGCAGGCAUGAGUAGCGAUAAUUAAUGUGAGAAUCAUUAACGCCGUAAACCCAAGGUUUCCUACGCGAUGCUCGUCAUCGUAGGGUUAGUCGGGUCCUAAGUCGAGUCCGAAAGGGGUAGACGAUGGCAAAUUGGUUAAUAUUCCAAUACCAACAUUAGUGUGCGAUGGAAGGACGCUUAGGGCUAAGGGGGCUAGCGGAUGGAAGUGCUAGUCUAAGGUCGUAGGAGGUUAUACAGGCAAAUCCGUAUAACAAUACUCCGAGAACUGAAAGGCUUUUUGAAGUCUUCGGAUGGAUAGAAGAACCCCUGAUGCC